UACGUAGGGUGCAAGCGUUGUCCGGAAUUAUUGGGCGUAAAGAGCUCGUAGGCGGUUUGUCGCGUCUGCUGUGAAAACUCGGGGCUUAACUCCGGGCCUGCAGUGGGUACGGGCAGACUAGAGUGCGGUAGGGGAGACUGGAAUUCCUGGUGUAGCGGUGAAAUGCGCAGAUAUCAGGAGGAACACCGGUGGCGAAGGCGGGUCUCUGGACAGUUACUGACACUGAGGCACGAAGGCCAGGGGAGCAAACGGG
rnacentral:rRNA from 1 species